rnacentral:rRNA from 1 species
GAUGAACGCUAGCUACAGGCUUAACACAUGCAAGUCGAGGGGCAGCGGGAUUGAAGCUUGCUUUGAUGGAUGGCGACCGGCGCACGGGUGAGUAACACGUAUCCAACCUGCCGACAACACUGGGAUAGCCUUUCGAAAGAAAGAUUAAUACCGGAUGGCAUAGUUUUCCCGCAUGGGAUAAUUAUUAAAGAAUUUCGGUUGUCGAUGGGGAUGCGUUCCAUUAGGCAGUAGGCGGGGUAACGGCCCACCUAGUCUUCGAUGGAUAGGGGUUCUGAGAGGAAGGUCCCCCACAUUGGAACUGAGACACGGUCCAAACUCCUACGGGAGGCAGCAGUGAGGAAUAUUGGUCAAUGGGCGAGAGCCUGAACCAGCCAAGUAGCGUGAAGGAUGACUGCCCUAUGGGUUGUAAACUUCUUUUAUAAAGGAAUAAAGUCGGGUAUGGAUACCCGUUUGCAUGUACUUUAUGAAUAAGGAUCGGCUAACUCCGUG